AGUUUUUGUUACGAAUUUUCGUUUUCUGUUACUUUAUUUGUGUAUUAUUCAGGGUAAUGUGCUUAAUUAUUUAUAAAAUAAAUGCGUAAGACUUUCUAAGCUAUACCAUGUAAUAAAAAAGGUGUAAAAUAUGUGGUUUAAAAUCUGGCUGGUCAGAUGGGAGGAAGAGAAUUUUCAUGGCUAAAUUCUUUUUCGAUAAAGAACGAUUCAGGACCCUCGCCUACGACUUUAUUGCUACAUCUGAAAAACGAAUACCAAAGACUGUCUAAACCGAAAAUACAACGCAAAACAAAACUAUUAAUAAAAUAUUAAUUAUGUUAA